UACGUAGGGGGCUAGCGUUGUCCGGAAUUACUGGGCGUAAAGGGCUCGUAGGCGGCCAACUAAGUCAGACGUGAAAUCCCCAAGCUUAACUUGGGAACUGCGUCGGAUACUGGAUGGCUUGAAUUCGGGAGAGGGAUGCAGAAUUCCAGGUGUAGCGGUGAAAUGCGUAGAUAUCUGGAGGAAUACCGGUGGCGAAGGCGGCAUCCUGGACCGACAUUGACGCUGAACGGCGAAAGCUAGGGGAGCAAACGGG
rnacentral:rRNA from 1 species